rnacentral:rRNA from 1 species
AGUGAACGCUGGCGGUAGGCCUAACACAUGCAAGUCGAACGGCAGCACAGUAAGAGCUUGCUCUUACGGGUGGCGAGUGGCGGACUGGUGAGGAAUACAUCGGAAUCUACUUUUUCGUGGGGGAUAACGUAGGGAAACUUACGCUAAUACCGCAUACGACCUACGGGUGAAAGCAUGGGAUCUUCGGACCUUGCGCGAUUGAAUGAGCCGAUGUCGGAUUAGCUAGUUGGCGGGGUAAAGGCCCACCAAGGCGACGAUCCGUAGCUGGUCUGAGAGGAUGAACAGCCACACUGGAACUGAGACACGGUACAGACUCCUACGGGAGGCAGCAGUGGGGAAUAUUGGACAAUGGGCGCAAGCCUGAUCCAGCCAUACCGCGUGGGUGAAGAAGGCCUUCGGGUUGUAAAGCCCUUUUGUUGGGAAAGAAAAGCAGCAGGUUAAUACCCCGCUGUUCUGACGGUACCCAAAGAAUAAGCACCGGCUAACUUCGUG